rnacentral:tRNA from 1 species
GGGCCUGUAGUGUAGCUGGAUAACAUAGCCCCCUCCUAAGGGGCAGAUCGCGGGUCCAAGUCCUGUCAGACCCU